rnacentral:lncRNA from 1 species
GUUCAUCAGACAUUACUUGCCAGCUCUGGAAGAGUGAAUGAUACGUACAGAAACAGCUUAGCUAGAUUUGGAGUACUUGCAUAGGUCACUAUGCAUCAUAUGAUCAUUGUCAUUGACAUACUUAAGAUAUGAAAUGAUGCUUGUUGGGUAGUGGUAAAUGGCAUGAAUACAGACAUACAGUUUGAGCAAUUUCUUGGUAUUACACAGAAGUUUAACUAGUAGUGUUGGCUUUGUCGGGUGUAACUAAUUUGAGUGCAUCUAUCCAUUCAUGCAAGAAGCCCUUAGUGUCCUCAUGUAUAACUGAUUUCCUGGCAAAAGCAAUAUGCGCCAAUCUACCAAAAUCAACACUAUGUCUUCUUAAUUUAAAGGCAAUGUUGGUGCUUGAUACUGGAAUGCUGCUUGGUUAAAUUGUUCAAUUAUUAUUUUUUAGAUAGAUGUAUUCUCCUUAUAGUGGCCAGUUGCGCGAUGUUUGUUCUAAUGUUACUAGCUUUCAUAACAUAUUUUCCGAAUUUCAGGUCAUUUGACAUCAAAGAGUGACGUCUAUAGCUUCGGUGUGGUGCUGCUUGAGAUGAUGUCAGGACGAAGGUCAAUGGACAAGAACCGCCCAAACGGCGAGCACAACCUUGUGGAGGGGGCCCGCCCAAACGGCGAGCACAACCUUGUGGAGUGGGCGCGCCCCCUCCUAGGAGAGAGACAGCGUUUCUACAAGCUAGUCGACCCUCGGCUGGAGGGCAAUUUCUCGGUCAAAGGUGCCCAGAAGGCAGCACAAUUGGCACGCGC